GCUAGUAGGUUGGCGACAUGCUGUGAUGAUGAAUAGUCAGCAUGCCGUUAAGCUAGUUGGUU
rnacentral:pre_miRNA from 1 species